UUAAGUUAUUAAGGGCGCACGGUGGAUGCCUUGGCACUAGAAGCCGAUGAAGGACGUUACUAACGACGAUAUGCUUUGGGGAGCUGUAAGUAAGCUUUGAUCCAGAGAUUUCCGAAUGGGGAAACCCAGCAUGAGUUAUGUCAUGUUAUCGAUAUGUGAAUACAUAGCAUAUCAGAAGGCACACCCGGAGAACUGAAACAUCUUAGUACCCGGAGGAAGAGAAAGAAAAUUCGAUUCCCUUAGUAGCGGCGAGCGAAACGGGAAGAGCCCAAACCAACAAGCUUGCUUGUUGGGGUUGUAGGACACUCUAUACGGAGUUACAAAGGACGACAUUAGACGAAUCAUCUGGAAAGAUGAAUCAAAGAAGGUAAUAAUCCUGUAGUCGAAAAUGUUGUCUCUCUUGAGUGGAUCCUGAGUACGACGGAGCACGUGAAAUUCCGUCGGAAUCUGGGAGGACCAUCUCCUAAGGCUAAAUACUCUCUAGUGACCGAUAGUGAACCAGUACCGUGAGGGAAAGGUGAAAAGCACCCCGGAAGGGGAGUGAAAUAGAACCUGAAACCGUGUGCUUACAAGUAGUCAGAGCUCGUUAAUGGGUGAUGGCGUGCCUUUUGUAGAAUGAACCGGCGAGUUACGAUUUGAUGCAAGGUUAAGCAGUAAAUGUGGAGCCGUAGCGAAAGCGAGUCUGAAUAGGGCGUUUAGUAUUUGGUCGUAGACCCGAAACCAGGUGAUCUACCCUUGGUCAGGUUGAAGUUCAGGUAACACUGAAUGGAGGACCGAACCGACUUACGUUGAAAAGUGAGCGGAUGAACUGAGGGUAGCGGAGAAAUUCCAAUCGAACCUGGAGAUAGCUGGUUCUCUCCGAAAUAGCUUUAGGGCUAGCCUCAAGUGAUGAUUAUUGGAGGUAGAGCACUGUUUGGACGAGGGGCCCCUCUCGGGUUACCGAAUUCAGACAAACUCCGAAUGCCAAUUAAUUUAACUUGGGAGUCAGAACAUGGGUGAUAAGGUCCGUGUUCGAAAGGGAAACAGCCCAGACCACCAGCUAAGGUCCCAAAAUAUAUGUUAAGUGGAAAAGGAUGUGGCGUUGCCCAGACAACUAGGAUGUUGGCUUAGAAGCAGCCAUCAUUUAAAGAGUGCGUAAUAGCUCACUAGUCGAGUGACACUGCGCCGAAAAUGUACCGGGGCUAAACAUAUUACCGAAGCUGUGGAUUGUCCUUUGGACAAUGGUAGGAGAGCGUUCUAAGGGCGUUGAAGCAUGAUCGUAAGGACAUGUGGAGCGCUUAGAAGUGAGAAUGCCGGUGUGAGUAGCGAAAGACGGGUGAGAAUCCCGUCCACCGAUUGACUAAGGUUUCCAGAGGAAGGCUCGUCCGCUCUGGGUUAGUCGGGUCCUAAGCUGAGGCCGACAGGCGUAGGCGAUGGAUAACAGGUUGAUAUUCCUGUACCACCUAUAAUCGUUUUAAUCGAUGGGGGGACGCAGUAGGAUAGGCGAAGCGUGCGAUUGGAUUGCACGUCUAAGCAGUAAGGCUGAGUAUUAGGCAAAUCCGGUACUCGUUAAGGCUGAGCUGUGAUGGGGAGAAGACAUUGUGUCUUCGAGUCGUUGAUUUCACACUGCCGAGAAAAGCCUCUAGAUAGAAAAUAGGUGCCCGUACCGCAAACCGACACAGGUAGUCAAGAUGAGAAUUCUAAGGUGAGCGAGCGAACUCUCGUUAAGGAACUCGGCAAAAUGACCCCGUAACUUCGGGAGAAGGGGUGCUCUUUAGGGUUAACGCCCAGAAGAGCCGCAGUGAAUAGGCCCAAGCGACUGUUUAUCAAAAACACAGGUCUCUGCUAAACCGUAAGGUGAUGUAUAGGGGCUGACGCCUGCCCGGUGCUGGAAGGUUAAGAGGAGUGGUUAGCUUCUGCGAAGCUACGAAUCGAAGCCCCAGUAAACGGCGGCCGUAACUAUAACGGUCCUAAGGUAGCGAAAUUCCUUGUCGGGUAAGUUCCGACCCGCACGAAAGGCGUAACGAUUUGGGCACUGUCUCAACGAGAGACUCGGUGAAAUCAUAGUACCUGUGAAGAUGCAGGUUACCCGCGACAGGACGGAAAGACCCCGUGGAGCUUUACUGUAGCCUGAUAUUGAAAUUCGGCACAGCUUGUACAGGAUAGGUAGGAGCCUUUGAAACGUGAGCGCUAGCUUACGUGGAGGCGCUGGUGGGAUACUACCCUAGCUGUGUUGGCUUUCUAACCCGCACCACUUAUCGUGGUGGGAGACAGUGUCAGGCGGGCAGUUUGACUGGGGCGGUCGCCUCCUAAAAGGUAACGGAGGCGCUCAAAGGUUCCCUCAGAAUGGUUGGAAAUCAUUCAUAGAGUGUAAAGGCAUAAGGGAGCUUGACUGCGAGACCUACAAGUCGAGCAGGGUCGAAAGACGGACUUAGUGAUCCGGUGGUUCCGCAUGGAAGGGCCAUCGCUCAACGGAUAAAAGCUACCCCGGGGAUAACAGGCUUAUCUCCCCCAAGAGUUCACAUCGACGGGGAGGUUUGGCACCUCGAUGUCGGCUCAUCGCAUCCUGGGGCUGUAGUCGGUCCCAAGGGUUGGGCUGUUCGCCCAUUAAAGCGGUACGCGAGCUGGGUUCAGAACGUCGUGAGACAGUUCGGUCCCUAUCCGUCGUGGGCGUAGGAAAUUUGAGAGGAGCUGUCCUUAGUACGAGAGGACCGGGAUGGACAUACCUCUGGUGUACCAGUUGUCGUGCCAACGGCAUAGCUGGGUAGCUAUGUGUGGACGGGAUAAGUGCUGAAAGCAUCUAAGCAUGAAGCCCCCCUCAAGAUGAGAUUUCCCAACUUCGGUUAUAAGAUCCCUCAAAGAUGAUGAGGUUAAUAGGUUCGAGGUGGAAGCAUGGUGACAUGUGGAGCUGACGAAUACUAAUCGAUCGGAGACUUAAUCAA
rnacentral:rRNA from 1 species